UACGUAGGGGGCGAGCGUUGUCCGGAGUUAUUGGGCGUAAAGCGCGCGCAGGCGGUCUAGCCAGUCUGGAGUGACAGUUCCCGGCUCACCUGGGAAAGGUCUUCGGAAACUGCUAGACUUGAGGGACUCAGAGGGAGACGGAAUUCCAGGUGGAGCGGUGAAAUGCGUAGAUAUCUGGAGGAAUACCGGUGGCGAAGGCGGCAUCCUGGACCGGCAUUGACGCUGAGGAGCGAAAGCCAGGGGAGCAAACGGG
rnacentral:rRNA from 1 species